AUCUAUAUAAUAUAUAAAGUAUAUUUGACUUCCAAUCAUAAAGACUACUAACUUAGUAGUGUAGAUA
rnacentral:tRNA from 1 species